AUCACUUUGUGUGUGGUUUGAAUCUGAACAAUUACAUCGUGUAUCACCAUCAAAUAGGCAAAUUUGUUAUGUGUGAUGGCAAAACAUUGGACCAGUUGGUCAUAUUUAGAAGAGCAAACGGGGAUGGAGUUCUUGGUGUUGCAUGAAGUUGAUGUGCAUGAGAUGGACGUCCAUCCUGUCUCCAAUGGAAGAAAAUCGAUGUCACCAUCUUCAGCUUUCCUCAUGCAGGCCAUUACUCUAGGCUAAGUGAAAAGUACUCGGUCCUUACUGAGUAAGUCACUAAUUAUUCAUUUCAAUUAAAUGCUGAUUAGGAUAUUAUGUGUAAAUAGGAUUGUAAAUAUGUUGUACAUAUAAUUUUCAAUCCCGCAGCAACGCGCGGGCAUCAUUGCUAGU